rnacentral:rRNA from 1 species
UGCUGGAGGUAUCAGAAGUGCGAAUGCUGACAUAAGUAACGAUAAUGCGGGUGAAAAACCCGCACGCCGGAAGACCAAGGGUUCCUGUCCAACGUUAAUCGGGGCAGGGUGAGUCGACCCCUAAGGCGAGGCUGAAAAGCGUAGUCGAUGGGCAACGGGUUAAUAUUCCCGUACUGGUGGUAACUGCGAAGGGGGGACGGAGAAAGCUAAAUCAUCCGGGCGACGGUUGUCCCGGUUUAAGCGUGCAGGUGGACUGACCAGGCAAAUCCGGUCGGUUGUUAACACUGAGGCGUGACGACGAGCCACUACGGUGGUGAAGUGAUUGAUGCUCUGCUUCCGGGAAAAGCCUCUAAGCUCCAGGUUACCAUUAAUCGUACCCCAAACCGACACAGGUGGUCAGGUAGAGAAUACUCAGGCGCUUGAGAGAACUCGGGUGAAGGAACUAGGCAAAAUGGUGCCGUAACUUCGGGAGAAGGCACGCUGGCAUUAGGUGAAGUGGUUUACCCAUGGAGCUGAAGCCAGCCGCAGAUACCAGCUGGCUGCAACUGUUUAUUAAAAACACAGCACUGUGCAAACACGAAAGUGGACGUAUACGGUGUGACGCCUGCCCGGUGCCGGAAGGUUAAUUGAUGAGGUCAGCCGCAAGGCGAAGCUUCUGAUCGAAGCCCCGGUAAACGGCGGCCGUAACUAUAACGGUCCUAAGGUAGCGAAAUUCCUUGUCGGGUAAGUUCCGACCUGCACGAAUGGCGUAAUGAUGGCCAGGCUGUCUCCACCCGAGACUCAGUGAAAUUGAACUCGCUGUGAAGAUGCAGUGUACCCGCGGCAAGACGGAAAGACCCCGUGAACCUUUACUAUAGCUUGACACUGAACAUUGAGCCUUGAUGUGUAGGAUAGGUGGGAGGCAAUGAAGUGUGGACGCCAGUCUGCACGGAGCCAUCCUUGAAAUACCACCCUUUAACGUUUGAUGUUCUAACCCGGGUCCAUAAUCUGGAUCGGGGACCGUGUCUGGUGGGUAGUUUGACUGGGGCGGUCUCCUCCCAAAGAGUAACGGAGGAGCACGAAGGUUGGCUAAGCAUGGUCGGACAUCAUGCGGUUAGUGCAAAGGCAUAAGCCAGCUUGACUGCGAGAGUGACGGCUCGAGCAGGUACGAAAGUAGGUCUUAGUGAUCCGGUGGUUCUGAAUGGAAGGGCCAUCGCUCAACGGAUAAAAGGUACUCCGGGGAUAACAGGCUGAUACCGCCCAAGAGUUCAUAUCGACGGCGGUGUUUGGCACCUCGAUGUCGGCUCAUCACAUCCUGGGGCUGAAGUAGGUCCCAAGGGUAUGGCUGUUCGCCAUUUAAAGUGGUACGCGAGCUGGGUUUAGAACGUCGUGAGACAGUUCGGUCCCUAUCUGCCGUGGGCGCUGGAAGAUUGAGAGGGGUUGCUCCUAGUACGAGAGGACCGGAGUGAACGCACCACUGGUGUACGGGUUGUGAUGCCAAUUGCAUUGCCCGGUAGCUAAGUGCGGAAGAGAUAACCGCUGAAAGCAUCUAAGCGGGAAACUUGCCUCGAGAUGAGUCUUCCCUGACCCUUUAAGGGUCCUGAAGGAACGUUUGAGACUAAGACGUUGAUAGGCUGGGUGUGUAAGCGCAGCGAUGCGUUGAGCUGACCAGUACUAAUGAACCGUGAGGCUUAACCUGACAACACCGAAGGUGUUU